rnacentral:rRNA from 1 species
GAUGAACGCUGGCGGCGUGCCUAAUACAUGCAAGUCGAACGUGAUCCUCGAUUUCGGUUGAGGUGAAAGUGGCGUACGGGUGAGUAACACAUGGCUGACCUGCCCUUCAGAGGGGGACAACUGCUGGAAACGGCAGCUAAUACCCCAUACGCUCGUCCGGGUUAGAGGCUGGGCGAGGAAAGGCUGAGGUGCUGAAGGAGGGGGCUGUGGCCCAUCAGCUAGUUGGUAGGGUAACGGCCUACCAAGGCGAGGACGGGUAGGGGACCUGAGAGGGUGACCCCCCACACGGGCACUGAGAGACGGGCCCGACUCCUACGGGAGGCAGCAGUAAGGGAUAUUGCGCGAAUGGGCGAAAGCCUGACGCAGCAACGCCGCGUGCGGGAAGAAGGCCUUCGGGUUGUAAACCGCUUUUCUAGGGGAAGAGGGAGGACGGUACCCUGGGAAUAAGUCUCGGCUAACUACGUG